UACGUAGGGGGCGAGCGUUGUCCGGAAUUAUUGGGCGUAAAGCGCACGUAGGCGGCCUUGUAAGUCUCACUGUGAAAGUCCGGGGCUCAACCCCGGGAUGCCAGGGGAUACUGCGAGGCUGGAGACAAGCAGAGGUUGGUAGAAUUCCGGGUGUAGCGGUGAAAUGCGUAGAGAUGUGGAGGAACACCGAUGGCGAAGGCAGCCCCCUGGGUCAACACUGACGCUCAUGCACGAAAGCGUGGGGAGCAAACAGG
rnacentral:rRNA from 1 species